rnacentral:rRNA from 1 species
UACGAAGGGGGCAAGCGUUGUUCGGAUUUACUGGGCGUAAAGCGUACGUAGGCGGAUAAUUAAGUCAGGGGUGAAAUCCCGGGGCUCAACCUCGGAACUGCCUUUGAUACUGGUUGUCUUGAGUCCGGGAGAGGUGAGUGGAACUCCUAGUGUAGAGGUGAAAUUCGUAGAUAUUAGGAAGAACACCAGUGGCGAAGGCGGCUCACUGGCCCGGAACUGACGCUGAUGUACGAAAGCGUGGGGAGCAAAC